GGAGACUAUAAAAGGAGCUGCGGUGAACCGGGCUCGUUCUUUUACGACGGAGCCUAAGAUAUUCUUUGUCUUGUCGGUGAGUGAGUUACAGUCGGAUGACCAAGUGAAAUAUAGGGGUGCAACGAGGAUUUGGAGGCUUCUGAGACUUGAACUUAGGGUACUGGUGUAAACUUCCUCGGAGAAGUGCGCAGCAGCUAAUGAUAUUUCGGGAUUGGAGUCUGGGCCCCAGUGAGAUUCGUACUAAGCGGCCUGACUGAAGGCCGCAUGCGUUCUAGUUCCUGAGUCCCCGCGUGGGUAGGUUUUUACAGCAGGGUUUGCAGCCUUUUGUGCUGUUCCGAAGGUACUAGAGUCACCGAAAGAGACAUCCUAUUAUAUGCACGUUCACAAGGACAAUGGCGCCAUUGUUCUUCGCGUCUUCAAAGCAGCUACAAGAAGAAACCAAGGUAAAGGCGAUGCAGCUUCUAUAUUUUAAGAAUAUUGUUAUAGUGCAAUAGGAAGUGAUGUGUGAUGCUUAAAUUUUGUUUUUUGAUUUUUCAUUAUAUUAGAUGGAGGGGAGCCCAAAGCAUCUGAGAGAAUUGAUAAAUGAAAGAAACAUGCUUAAAACAUGACCGUUUUAAAGGGUGUGUAUUGAAGCCUAGAUUUUUUCCCUUGUAAGCAUGCAAACAUACCGUUGUGAAGUAAGAAUCCGGGUUCCUGGAAAUGUAUUGUGAAGUAGUCCUGGCCAAACUACUCUGGCCUUUGCAAUUUGGAGUGACUGUUGUGAAUGCAUGGUGUACAAAUUGAUUGUACAAACAGUUGUGAGACAUACCGGGUCAGAACAGUGAUGAAAUACAUCCCGAAGAUGAUGACCUGAAGAUAAAUGCAGCUUCUGAGAGAAGACCAUUGUGUUUAAGUGGUAGUCUUGUUAAUGCAGUUCUUACUCAUAGCAUGUCAUGGUACCUCUUUCUGUAGUGAAUGCUGACCAGUGAGAUGCCAGCCUGCGUGUGAAGAUCCUACAGCAGAAGUGCAUGUGAGUGGUGCUCUGUUUUGUUUUCUGCUGAGCUUACUGUCGUUGGUCUAGUCUAUGAUGAUCCUAUCCCGAACCUGAAUUCCUGUUGAAAAACCAUAAUUACGGAUCUGGCUUCUGAGAUGGACCAUUGCAAAGGACUAUUGUGUUCUUCUUUAAUGUUGGCAAUGACGUAAUGCCUGUGUUUUUGUUUUUAUAUUUUAGGGCCAGUGACACAAGAACUUGCGAGAGAUGCCAGUCCGCCUGUGAAGAUCCUGCAGCAGGAGUGCAUGUGAGUGGUGCUCUGUUUUGUUUUCUGCUGAGCUUACUGUCGUUGGUCUAGUCUAUGAUGAUCCUAUCCCGAACCUGAAUUCCUGUUGAAAAACCAUACUUACGGAUCUGGCUUCUGAGAUGGACCAUUGCAAAGGACUAUUGUGUUCUUCUUUAAUGUUGGCAGUAACAUAAUGCCUGUGUUCUUAUUUUUAUAUUUUAGAGCCAGUGACACAAGACGUGCGAAUGAAAACUAGAUGUGACCAUCCAGAAAAAGCAUAGACAAAAAAAUGCAGUCUUAGUACUGGGAUGUUUGAGAUGGGGUCUAUCUACAUGUCUCUAGCUGUCCCUAUCAGGACAGCAUCUGGUGUGGCCUGCAGAGUUGAUUCCUGUACUUUUUUUUUUUUGUGGGCUGUAUGUAAAUGGAUUGUUUUGACAAUCCAUUCGACAGUGUUCUCUUCUGUGAAGGUCAUAGGUGAGCUGAUUGACAGACACAGCUGUACAGACUGAAUGCAAUCCUGACUAUAAAGCUGCAGUUCAUCAUUAUGAGCUAUUUCCUUAUUCUGGCAGUGAUUGAAAUAAAAUGGGGAGUAUUGAAAUAAAAAACAUUCAAUUGCAAAUAUU
rnacentral:lncRNA from 1 species